rnacentral:lncRNA from 1 species
GGUAGGCAGCCAUACAUAGAAGGUCUCACCCAUCCAUGAUGGCAGCUCCUGAAAACCUAACAAAAGUGCUCUAUGGCAGAGGUAUCCUUGGGCAUGCAUGCCACAGGGCAUUGGUGCCAGGCUAUCACCAGAGCAAUUCCAAAAGACUUUCUCUGCCCCCUCUUUUCCUCCCUCUCCCAAUGCAGCUCUGGAGGAUGGAGAGGCAGCAGAGAGGGUGGGGAGGAGAAGCAGGAGGAAGACAAGUUCUCCCCUCCCCCUCUCAGCACAGCUCUCUCAGCCCAAGCAAGGCCCAGGCUGGAGGAGGGGCCAUGCUGAGUGGGCGAAGGUCAACACUGUGCUGCUCUUUACUUAUGAAGAUAAACAUGGUUGAAGAGUUAAUGCCUGCAUGGCCAAAGGAUGAAAUCAAUCUAAUUCUCUCCAGAUGUGGUUGAAAACGCCCAGGAAGUGCCAUCCUAUCUGCAGCUGUUAUCUUACACUAGUGCUUGAGAUGGCCACUAACCGAAGUGCCCUCCUGCCCUCACUGCCAUCCAGGGGCAGACAGUGCUGCACCAGACUUGGGGACAGCCCCUACUGAAUGGAUUGUGGUUGCUCUGAGCUGUCUGUGCAGAAGGAGGGGAGGCAGGGUGUGUGCAAGUAUGUGUGUAGGAGACAUCUAUACAGCUGUAAUGGAAAUUCUGCAUGACUACAUCAGCUGGAGUGCCCCUGGCACCAAUGGAGCCUUCCUCUCUGAGUCUCACAGCUGGAAAAUAGUUUCUUUAUUUGAUGCAAGGCAAUGCCAGCAAUGCUUUGAGACCACUCUGUGAAGUUCUCAAGUGCUUUUUGUAUCCAUUUCCUAGGGCUGCAGUGACAAGUCUAUCAUCAACUGGAAGCCAAAGUCCAAAAUCAGGAUGCUGAGAGAGCCAAGGCAAUCAUAUCAGAUUAAAGGCCCACCCUCCUCAAGUAUUCAUCUUAACUACUAACAUCCACAAUGGUCCUAUAUCUAAAUAAGGUCAUGUUUGAGGAAGAACAUGAAUUUGCGGGGGUUGGGGGGAUAUGAUCUAAUCCAGUACACUUUUCUUACUUAUAAAGAUUCCUAAGGGCAUCUGAGGUACAUAUUAGAAAUACUUUGCCCAAAUGCCUUCCAAAAUGACCCAUAAAUAGGAGUCCUCUAACACUUGAGCCCAGCCCGUUCCCUUUCCAGCAACUUCGCAAGCUGCUGAAUGCAUUGGAAAGAAUGCAGAACGUGGAGCCUGGUGGACCUGAGGUUGAAUCUCCACUUAGCUGUGUGACUUUCCUUAAGUCGCUUCUACUCUCAUGAUCUAUAAAAUGGGUCAAUAGAGGGGAUAACCAAACAUCUCUUGGACACUUUCUUUUGUGUGAUACACCAUCAAAGAACCUUCAGAGUCAUUAUUUGAUUAGUAAAAUAUCAUUCUCAUGUGAGGAUAAGUUAGUUAACUUAUAGCCUAAUACCAUGUUGGUGAGGAAUAAAUAUUAGUUCUUUAUACUUCA